AUUGAACGCUGGCGGCAGGCCUAACACAUGCAAGUCGAGCGAGCGGCGGACGGGUGAGUAAUGUCUGGGAGACUGCCGGAUGGAGGGGGCUAACUACUGGAAAAGGUAGCUAAUACCGCAUACAAUCAGAUGUGCACAGAUGGGAUUGGCUAGUAGGUGGGGUAACGGCUCACCUAGGCGACGAUCCCUAGCUGGUCUGAGAGGAUGACCAGCCACACUGGAACUGAGACACGGUCCCGCCUCCUACGGUAGGCAGCAGUGUGGAUUCUUGCACAAUGGGCGCAAUCCUGAUGCAGCCAUGCCGCGUGUGUGAAGCAGGCCUUCGGGUUUUAAAGCACUUUCAUCUGGUAGGCGUUACCCGCAGAAGAAGCACCGGCUAACUCCGUGCCAGCAGCCGCGGUAAUAC
rnacentral:rRNA from 1 species